UACGUAGGGUGCGAGCGUUGUCCGGAAUUAUUGGGCGUAAAGAGCUCGUAGGCGGCUUGUUGCGUCGACUGUGAAAACCCGCGGCUUAACUGCGGGCUUGCAGUUGAUACGGGCAGGCUAGAGUUCGGUAGGGGAGACUGGAAUUCCUGGUGUAGCGGUGAAAUGCGCAGAUAUCAGGAGGAACACCAAUGGCGAAGGCAGCUCGCUGGAACGGUACUGACGCUGAGGCGCGAAAGCGUGGGGAGCGAACAGG
rnacentral:rRNA from 1 species